GACGAACGCUGGCGGCGUGCUUAACACAUGCAAGUCGAACGGUGAAGCGCCUUCCUUUUUGGUGGGUGUGGAUGAGUGGCGAACGGGUGAGUAACACGUGAGUAACCUGCCCCCUUCUUCUGGAUAACCGCAUGAAAGUGUGGCUAAUACGGGAUAUUCUGGGUCUGUCGCAUGAUGGGUCUGGGAAAGAUAUUGUUUCGGUGGGGGAUGGGCUCGCGGCCUAUCAGCUUGUUGGUGGGGUGAUGGCCUACCAAGGCGGUGACGGGUAGCCGGCCUGAGAGGGUGGACGGUCACACUGGGACGGAGACACGGCCCCGACUCCUACGGGAGGCAGCAGUGGGGAAUAUUGCACAAUGGGCGCAAGCCUGAUGCAGCGACGCCGCGUGAGGGAUGGAGGCCGUCGGGUUGUGAACCUCUUUCGCCAGUGAAGCAGGCCUGCCUCGUUUGUGGGUGGGUUGACGGUAGCUGGAUAAGAAGCGCCGGCUAACUACGUG
rnacentral:rRNA from 1 species